rnacentral:lncRNA from 1 species
UUUUCAUUUAACCACAAUCAAUCAUACUCACAAGCAAGUUAUCAUCACAAGGACUUUUCAUGGCUUAUAAUGAGGCUGGGCUAAGAAGAAUAUUGGUUUUUCUGGAUCACAAAAUCCUUGAGUUAAGAGACUUACUCAAAUUUAUAAUUUAAGCACAAACUCUCUUUAAACAACCAAUCUCACUCAUUCCCAACUUUUCCUUUUCUUUGCAUUGAGCUUUUCUUCUCAUUUUAUCUUUUUUUAUCUUUUUUUAUCUUUUUUAUCUUUUUCAUUUUUUCAUGUUUUGCUCAACACAUUAGCUCAAUGCUUAUCUUUUUCUUUUUCAACUUUCCCAACAACCCCAAACUUGAACCUUUAUCAAUACCACACUAUAAUUCUCA